UUUGGUUAUGUGUAAAUGGCUGAAAUAUAUUUGAUAUAAAAACAGCUCACCUUAUUACUGUAAUCAGUUGAUAUUUUAGUAUGAAAGCAAAAUGAAAAUACUUAAAUAGACUAGUGUGUGUAAUUUGCUUUGUUGUUUAAAAAAAAGGGGGUGGAUAAGGUGACUCCAUCGGUUGUAAUGUGUAGUAUGGGGUUAAAUACUGAUUCAACCACACAUAUUUGUAUUCAGUGAACUUCAUUACACAUCAUGUCAAUACGAAUCUGGUUUUUAAAUAAUGACAGUGUUUAUUUAUUCAAAAGUAACAGCUGUCGAAUGAUCCUCGUGAAAAGAGGGGAAUGUACAUGUUUGUGUAAAAAAUAAAUUGUUACAAUAACAAUUAUAAU
rnacentral:lncRNA from 1 species